UGAGUCGAUUGGGUGAUUGCGUUCGGUGAACCAGUUGCGUGAGCAAUUAGGCAUCGGCCGAGGAAAGUCCGGACUCCACAGAGCACGGUGGUUGUUAACGACAACCCGGCGCGAGCUGCGGGAAAGUGCAACAGAAAGUAAACCGCCGUCGGUUUUGCCGGCGGUAAGGGUGAAAGGGUGCGGUAAGAGCGCACCGGCAGGUCAGGUGACUGGUCUGGCCAGGUAAACCCCACCGGGAGCAAGGCAUGAGGACGUAUCUAAUGGUAUGUCUGUGCAGGUGUUAUGGCUGCUCGCCUAGCCUGCAGGUAGCUGCUAGAGGCAGUCAGCAAUGGCUGCGACGAGAUGGAUGAUCACCGCCACAGUCUUAGCUUGCUAAGUCAGGUGGGACAGAAUCCGGCUUAUAGAUCGGCUCAUUCG
rnacentral:RNase_P_RNA from 2 species